GAGUUUGAUCCUGGCUCAGAACGAACGCUGGCGGCAUGCUUCAUACAUGCAAGUCGAACGUGAAAGACCUUCGGGUUAAGUAAAGUGGCGCACGGGUGAGUAACGCGUAGAUAAUCUGCCCCGCAUGUCUGGGAUAACCUUUCGAAAGGGAGGCUAAUACCGGAUAACACGAUUUCUUUUGAGGGAGUCGUUGAAAGUUGCGGCGCAACGGGAUGAGUCUGCGUCCCAUUAGCUAGUUGGUGGGGUAAAGGCCUACCAAGGCGACGAUGGGUAGCGGGUUUGAGAGGACGAUCCGCCACACUGGAACUGAGACACGGUCCAGACUCCUACGGGAGGCAGCAGUAGGGAAUCUUGCGCAAUGGGCGAAAGCCUGACGCAGCAAUGCCGCGUGAGUGAAGAAGGCCCUCGGGUCGUAAAGCUCUUUAUCUUCGGGAAGAUGAUGACGGUACCGAAGGAAGAAGCACCGGCUAACUACGUGCCAGCAGCCGCGGUAAUACGUAGGGUGCAAGCGUUGUUCGGAAUCACUGGGCGUAAAGGGCGUGUAGGCGGAACGAUUAGCGAGGGGUGAAAUCCCGGGGCUCAACCCCGGAAGCGCUCUUCGAACUGUCGAUCUAGAGAAGGUCAGGCGCCGGCGGAAUUCCUGGUGU
rnacentral:rRNA from 1 species